GUUUAUGGCUAUACCACCCUGAACAAGUUCGAUCCUGUCUGAUCUCGGGAACUAAGUAGGGUUGGGCCUGGUUAGUACUUAGAUGAGACCACCUAGGAAGACCAGGUGCUAUAGGUG
rnacentral:rRNA from 1 species